GCCAGAAUAUUCAUUCCCAACUUAUUGGGUAAAAGAAAGGAGCCACCAUUAUAGUGGGGAAUGUUGACCAAUUAGCCUUGUUAUGUUUGGCCAUACAAACCAUGCUGCUAUGAGACUGGCACGUUAAAUUGUUUCGAUUCUCAAAUCUGUCUGAGAUUAUAUUCGACUCUACCCAAUAAGUCGAGAAUGAAUAUUCUGGCUUUGUAUCUAA